rnacentral:rRNA from 1 species
UACGGAGGGUGCAAGCGUUAUCCGGAUUCACUGGGUUUAAAGGGUGUGUAGGCGGGCUGUUAAGUCAGUGGUGAAAUCUCCGGGCUCAACCUGGAAACUGCCAUUGAUACUAUCAGUCUUGAAUGUUGUUGAGGUGGGCGGAAUACAUCAUGUAGCGGUGAAAUGCUUAGAUAUGAUGUAGAACACCGAUUGCGAAGGCAGCUCACUAAACAACGAUUGACGCUGAGGCACGAAAGCGUGGGGAUCAAACAGG